rnacentral:piRNA from 1 species
UGCUUUGGUGCCGGGUUUCCCCCA